UUCCAUUCCAUUUGUGUUUAUUUUCUCUCUAUCACAUUUACAUCACCUGCCUUAUUUUCAACAUCAUAUUCAUCAUGACAUCAAGUCAUCCAUCCACUUGAUGUCACAGACAGACAUAAGCAAUAAAACAAAUCUCUCUUCUACACAUAAUGAGAGAACAUCAAUCAAUCAAUUAACACGACCAAGAUAAUAAAGAAACACAAAAAAGGUCAGUUUCACUCCAGCAACAAUAAGGCUCGGUAAAGACAUGGCACAGCAGGAGAAAAACAUUUAGACAGUUAAAAAAUAAAGACAAACAGAUCAAAGACAGGUAAAACAGUGACAGAGACAAACAGAUCAAAGACAGGUAAAACAGUGACAGAAAGACAAACAGAUCAAAGACAGGUAAAACAGUGACAGAGACAAACAGAUCAAAGACAGGUAAAACAGUGACAAAGACAAACAGAUCAAAGACAGGUAAAACAGCUAAAACAGUGACAAAGACAAACAGAUCAAAGACAGGUAAAACAGUGAGAAAGACAAACAGAUCAAAGACAGGUAAAACAGUCACAGAAAGACAAACAGAUCAAAGACAGGUAAAACAGUCACAGAAAGACAAACAGAUCAAAGACAGGUAAAACAGGUAAAACAGUGACAGAAAGACAAACAGAUCAAAGACAGGUAAAACAGUGACAAAGACAAACAGAUCAAAGACAGGUAAAACAGUGACAAAGACAAACAGAUCAAAGACAG
ensembl:lncRNA